ACCGGCACCGGUGGCGUGGUGCUGUAAUCCAGCUGCUUUGGAGGUCUGGACUGCUGGACGGCGUCAGGUUGGGAGUUCUGUCUUCUGUUUCUGUAUGUCGAUCAGGCGUCCGCACUAAGUACGGUGUCGACAUGUUUGAACUGGGGUAGCCCAGAUGCACCAGGUCGUCUAAGGAGGAGCGAACCGGCUCAGGGUGGGCUCAGGUGGAUGUAGGACCACCGCGGACAGCGAUGCACGAAGAAACACGUCUAGGCAUAGAGUCAAUAGG
rnacentral:SRP_RNA from 1 species